rnacentral:rRNA from 1 species
GCCCAGCUUGCUGGGCGGAUUAGUGGCGAACGGGUGAGUAAUACGUGAGUAACCUGCCCUUGACUCUGGGAUAAGCCUGGGAAACUGGGUCUAAUACUGGAUACUACCUCCUGCCGCAUGGUGGGUGGUGGAAAGGGUUUUACUGGUUUUGGAUGGGCUCACGGCCUAUCAGCUUGUUGGUGGGGUAAUGGCUCACCAAGGCGACGACGGGUAGCCGGCCUGAGAGGGUGACCGGCCACACUGGGACUGAGACACGGCCCAGACUCCUACGGGAGGCAGCAGUGGGGAAUAUUGCACAAUGGGCGGAAGCCUGAUGCAGCGACGCCGCGUGAGGGAUGACGGCCUUCGGGUUGUAAACCUCUUUCAGUAGGGAAGAAGCGAGAGUGACGGUACCUGCAGAAGAAGCGCCGGCUAACUACGUGCCAGCAGCCGCGGUAAUACGUAGGGCGCAAGCGUUGUCCGGAAUUAUUGGGCGUAAAGAGCUCGUAGGCGGUUUGUCGCGUCUGCUGUGAAAGCCCGGGGCUCAACCCCGGGUCUGCAGUGGGUACGGGCAGACUAGAGUGCAGUAGGGGAGACUGGAAUUCCUGGUGUAGCGGUGAAAUGCGCAGAUAUCAGGAGGAACACCGAUGGCGAAGGCAGGUCUCUGGGCUGUUACUGACGCUGAGGAGCGAAAGCAUGGGGAGCGAACAGGAUUAGAUACCCCUGGUAGUCCAUGCCCGUAAACGUUGGGCCACU